rnacentral:rRNA from 1 species
CCCUUAGAUGUCCUGGGCUGCACGCGCGCUACACUGAUGUGUCCAGUAAGCACCUAACCUAUUCCGAGAGGAGCGGGUAACCUUAGCGAAGCACAUCGUGAUGGGGAUAGAUUAUUGCAAUUAUUAGUCUUGAACGAGGAAUUCCUAGUAAGCACAAGUCAUCAGCUUGUGUUGAUUACGUCCCUGCCCUUUGUACACACCGCCCGUCGCUCCUACCGAUUGAAUGUUCCGGUGAGCUCUUCGGACUGCGCGGUCUGCAGUUUCUGCGUUCCGUGCGGAAAGUUGUGCAAACCUUAACAUUUAGAGGAAGGAGAAGUCGUAACA